rnacentral:rRNA from 1 species
UACGUAGGUGGCAAGCGUUGUUCGGAUUCAUUGGGCGUAAAGGGUGUGUAGGUGGCGCGCUAAGUCGGGUGUGAAAUUUCGGAGCUUAACUCCGAAACUGCAUUCGAUACUGGCGUGCUUGAGGACUGGAGAGGAGACUGGAAUUCAUGGUGUAGCAGUGAAAUGCGUAGAGAUCAUGAGGAAGACCAGUGGCGAAGGCGGGUCUCUGGACAGUUCCUGACACUGAGACACGAAGGCCAGGGGAGCAAACGGG